UAAUACAUGCAAGUAGAACGCUGAAGCUUGGUGCUUGCACCGAGCGGAUGAGUUGCGAACGGGUGAGUAACGCGUAGGUAACCUGCCUGGUAGCGGGGGAUAACUAUUGGAAACGAUAGCUAAUACCGCAUAAGAGUAGAUGUUGCAUGACAUUUGCUUAAAAGGUGCAAUUGCAUCACUACCAGAUGGACCUGCGUUGUAUUAGCUAGUUGGUGAGGUAACGGCUCACCAAGGCAACGAUACAUAGCCGACCUGAGAGGGUGAUCGGCCACACUGGGACUGAGACACGGCCCAGACUCCUACGGGAGGCAGCAGUAGGGAGUCUUCGGCAAUGGACGAAAGUCUGACCGAGCAACGCCGCGUGAGUGAAGAAGGUUUUCGGAUCGUAAAGCUCUGUUGUAAGAGAAGAACGGGUGUGAGAGUGGAAAGUUCACAC
rnacentral:rRNA from 1 species